rnacentral:rRNA from 1 species
CCUACGGGAGACAGCAGUGAGGAAUAUUGGUCAAUGGGCGGAAGCCUGAACCAGCCAAGUCGCGUGAGGGAAUAAGGCCCUACGGGUCGUAAACCUCUUUUGCCGGGGAGCAAGGCCGGGGACGUGUCCCGGCCCGCAGAGUCCGCGGAGACAAAGCAUGGGCUCACUCCGUGCCAGCAGCCGCGGUAAUACGGAGGAUGCGAGCGUUCUCCGGAUUUAUUGGGUUUAAAGGGUGCGUAGGCGGGCUUUUAAGUCAGCGGUAAAAAUUCGGGGCUCAACCCCGGCCGGCCGGUGAAACUGGGGGCCUUGAGUGGGCGAGAGGAAGGCGGAAUGCGUGGUGUAGCGGUGAAAUGCAUAGAUAUCACGCAGAACCCCGAUUGCGAAGGCAGCCUUCCGGCGCCCGACUGACGCUGAGGCACGAAAGUGCGGGGAUCGAACAGGAUUAGAUACCCGUGUAGUC